CCUCGAAGAGGGGCUGGCUCCGGGGCGCGGCCUGUCCCCAGGGCUGAUUUAUUUGGGCCGAGGCACACCACUAUUCGCGAUUCGAAUUCAGCAAGAAAACAGCAGCCAAUUGGGCAGGGGGCGGGGGCUUUGCUGCCAAACGGGAAAGGGUGUUUGGGGACCAAGACAGGCGCUGCUUCCGGAGGAGCAGUGAGACCCCGGGGACCGCGUCACCAUACGCCUUUACCGCCGCAAAUUUAAGCCCAUUAUAUUGUCAUUUGACAAAGCUCCUGACUGCUCCAGCGACUUUUCAGAAAGAAAAAGAAUACAACGUCUGACUUAAAACAUAGUUUUAGCUGGAGAGGUGGGUUUUUUUUUUAAGCCAGAUUUAUGGGGCCUUCUCGCUUAUACCAUAUUUCUUUUUGUGUCGGGGCCGCUUUCCCCGAAGGACACGGGGUUACCUAGGCGGCCCCCAUUCCCGCCAGCGUCCCGGCCCACUAGACGCGUCCAGGCGGCUGCGUGUACCCCCACUCAGCGACUGUCUGUCCAACGCAGGCCAUCGCCCAGAAUCCUGACGGUGGCUUCUUGGGGGGUUUUGUUGUUGUUGUUUAGUUUUGUUUCUUAAUUCUCGAAAACCCAAAAAUAACCCUUUAGAAUUGUCAGGUGAUGGCGGCGGAAGCGCGAACACUGCACAGCCUAGCGAGCGCCCCAAUCCCCUGGCCCCUCGCCCCGCCGCGGGUCACUUCGGGUGAGGAGCACGCAGCGCCCCGCGCGGGCCCCGGGCGGCCGGAAUCCAGUGUUCGGGGCGCGGCGGCCGCAGCCCCGGGUCGCCCCCGCGGCCGCCAGCGCGGCGCGGAGGUGGGCUAGCGGCGGCGGCGCACGAAAGGUCACCGCGGUGGCAUUCCUCUCCUCGCGCUGUUUACGUGACUUAAUGUACUUCAUACGCCGCGGCUUGUUAUCUAGGCCACCCAAUGACCGACGAAAGAUUUUCCCUCCCUGUUUCUCCCAAGGCCGCUUUAAACCAAAUAAAUUUAGCUGUUAAGGGCCAAGAUGUCUGACAAAAGAUCGAAAGGUGUCUUUCCGUGAUCGCUUAAAGAAGCGAAGGGGAAGCGGUGGCUCUCGGAUCCCGAUAAAGACAUUCCACCCCGGCGCCGGCCUCCCUCCCCUCGGCCUGGAUGCGCCCUGACACCCUGAGAUCACCACUUCAGCGGCCCAGACCUCGGAGGGGCCCGGCGGGACCUAGGGCCGCAGCACGGGGAAUGUGCAGGUCCCCAGGCUGCCGGGGCCUGGUAGUGCCAGGCACUGGGGUCUCAGGAGCCGGGGAACUCCAGGCCGGAGCGGAGCUCCCAAAGCAGCCCCACUGCGCUUUGCAGAAAAACUAAACUGAGCUCAGUGGGGCCUAAAUUA